UACGGAGGAGGCAAGCGUUAUCCGGAAUUAUUGGGCGUAAAGCGUCCGCAGGUGGCACCUCAAGUCUGCUGUCAAAGACCGGGGCUUAACCCCAGAAAGGCAGUGGAAACUGAAGUGCUAGAGUGCAGUAGGGGUAGAGGGAAUUCCCGGUGUAGCGGUGAAGUGCGUAGAGAUCGGGAAGAACAUCGGUGGCGAAAGCGCUCUGCUGGACUGCAACUGACACUCAGGGACGAAAGCUAGGGGAGCGAAUGGG
rnacentral:rRNA from 1 species